rnacentral:rRNA from 1 species
GGAUUUCUUCGGAUUGAAGUGCUGAGCGGCGGACGGGUGAGUAACGCGUGGGUACCUGCCUCAUACAGGGGGAUAACAGUUGGAAACGGCUGCUAAUACCGCAUAAGACCGCAUGGUAAAAACUCCGGUGGUAUGAGAUGGACCCGCGUCUGAUUAGGUAGUUGGUGGGGUAACGGCCUACCAAGCCGACGAUCAGUAGCCGACCUGAGAGGGUGACCGGCCACAUUGGGACUGAGACACGGCCCAAACUCCUACGGGAGGCAGCAGUGGGGAAUAUUGCACAAUGGGGGAAACCCUGAUGCAGCGACGCCGCGUGAGCGAUGAAGUAUUUCGGUAUGUAAAGCUCUAUCAGCAGGGAAGAAAAUGACGGUACCUGACUAAGAAGCCCCGGCUAACUACGUGCCAGCAGCCGCGGUAAUACGUAGGGGGCAAGCGUUAUCCGGAUUUACUGGGUGUAAAGGGAGCGUAGACGGCAUGGCAAGCCAGAUGUGAAAGCCCGGGGCUCAACCCCGGGACUGCAUUUGGAACUGUCAGGCUAGAGUGUCGGAGAGGAAAGCGGAAUUCCUAGUGUAGCGGUGAAAUGCGUAGAUAUUAGGAGGAACACCAGUGGCGAAGGCGGCUUUCUGGACGAUGACUGACG